rnacentral:rRNA from 1 species
CACUAUCGUUAACUGAAUACAUAGGUUAACGAGGCGAACCGGGGGAACUGAAACAUCUAAGUACCCCGAGGAAAAGAAAUCAACCGAGAUUCCCCCAGUAGCGGCGAGCGAACGGGGAGCAGCCCAGAGUCUGAAUCAGCUUGUGUGUUAGUGGAACGGUCUGGAAAGUCCGACGGUACAGGGUGAUAGUCCCGUACACCAAAAUGCACAGGCUGUGAACUCGAAGAGUAGGGCGGGACACGUGGUAUCCUGUCUGAAUAUGGGGGGACCAUCCUCCAAGGCUAAAUACUCCUGACUGACCGAUAGUGAACCAGUACCGUGAGGGAAAGGCGAAAAGAACCCCGGCGAGGGGAGUGAAAAAGAACCUGAAACCGUGUACGUACAAGCAGUGGGAGCACCUUCGGGUGUGACUGCGUACCUUUUGUAUAAUGGGUCAGCGACUUAUAUUCUGUAGCAAGGUUAACCGUAUAGGGGAGCCGCAGGGAAACCGAGUCUUAACUGGGCGUUAAGUUGCAGGGUAUAGACCCGAAACCCGGUGAUCUAGCCAUGGGCAGGUUGAAGGUUGGGUAACACUAACUGGAGGACCGAACCGACUAAUGUUGAAAAAUUAGCGGAUGACUUGUGGCUGGGGGUGAAAGGCCAAUCAAACCGGGAGAUAGCUGGUUCUCCCCGAAAGCUAUUUAGGUAGCGCCUCGUGAACUCAUCUUCGGGGGUAGAGCACUGUUUCGGCUAGGGGGUCAUCCCGACUUACCAACCCGAUGCAAACUACGAAUACCGAAGAAUGUUAUCACGGGAGACACACGGCGGGUGCUAACGUCCGUCGUGAAGAGGGAAACAACCCAGACCGCCAGCUAAGGUCCCAAAGUCAUGGUUAAGUGGGAAACGAUGUGGGAAGGCACAGACAGCCAGGAUGUUGGCUUAGAAGCAGCCAUCAUUUAAAGAAAGCGUAAUAGCUCACUGGUCGAGUCGGCCUGCGCGGAAGAUGUAACGGGGCUAAACCAUGCACCGAAGCUGCGGCAGCGACACUAUGUGUUGUUGGGUAGGGGAGCGUUCUGUAAGCCUGCGAAGGUGACCUGUGAGGGUUGCUGGAGGUAUCAGAAGUGCGAAUGCUGACAUAAGUAACGAUAAAGCGGGUGAAAAGCCCGCUCGCCGGAAGACCAAGGGUUCCUGUCCAACGUUAAUCGGGGCAGGGUGAGUCGACCCCUAAGGCGAGGCCGAAAGGCGUAGUCGAUGGGAAACAGGUUAAUAUUCCUGUACUUGGUGUUACUGCGAAGGGGGGACGGAGAAGGCUAUGUUAGCCGGGCGACGGUUGUCCCGGUUUAAGCAUGUAGGCUGAUUGUCCAGGCAAAUCCGGAUAAUCAAGGCUGAGGUGUGAUGACGAGGCACUACGGUGCUGAAGUAACAAAUGCCCUGCUUCCAGGAAAAGCCUCUAAGCAUCAGGUAACAUUAAAUCGUACCCCAAACCGACACAGGUGGUCAGGUAGAGAAUACCAAGGCGCUUGAGAGAACUCGGGUGAAGGAACUAGGCAAAAUGGUGCCGUAACUUCGGGAGAAGGCACGCUGGUGUGUAGGUGAAGCCCCCGCGGGUGGAGCUGAGACCAGUCGAAGAUACCAGCUGGCUGCAACUGUUUAUUAAAAACACAGCACUGUGCAAACACGAAAGUGGACGUAUACGGUGUGACGCCUGCCCGGUGCCGGAAGGUUAAUUGAUGGGGUUAUCCGUAAGGAGAAGCUCUUGAUCGAAGCCCCGGUAAACGGCGGCCGUAACUAUAACGGUCCUAAGGUAGCGAAAUUCCUUGUCGGGUAAGUUCCGACCUGCACGAAUGGCGUAAUGAUGGCCAGGCUGUCUCCACCCGAGACUCAGUGAAAUUGAACUCGCUGUGAAGAUGCAGUGUACCCGCGGCAAGACGGAAAGACCCCGUGAACCUUUACUAUAGCUUGACACUGAACAUUGAGCCUUGAUGUGUAGGAUAGGUGGGAGGCUUUGAAGCGUGGACGCCAGUCUGCGUGGAGCCAACCUUGAAAUACCACCCUUUAAUGUUUGAUGUUCUAACGUUGGCCCCUGAUCGGGGUUGCGGACAGUGUCUGGUGGGUAGUUUGACUGGGGCGGUCUCCUCCCAAAGCGUAACGGAGGAGCACGAAGGUUAGCUAAUCCUGGUCGGACAUCAGGAGGUUAGUGCAAUGGCAUAAGCUAGCUUGACUGCGAGCGUGACGGCGCGAGCAGGUGCGAAAGCAGGUCAUAGUGAUCCGGUGGUUCUGAAUGGAAGGGCCAUCGCUCAACGGAUAAAAGGUACUCCGGGGAUAACAGGCUGAUACCGCCCAAGAGUUCAUAUCGACGGCGGUGUUUGGCACCUCGAUGUCGGCUCAUCACAUCCUGGGGCUGAAGUAGGUCCCAAGGGUAUGGCUGUUCGCCAUUUAAAGUGGUACGCGAGCUGGGUUUAGAACGUCGUGAGACAGUUCGGUCCCUAUCUGCCGUGGGCGCUGGAGAAUUGAGGGGGGCUGCUCCUAGUACGAGAGGACCGGAGUGGACGCAUCACUGGUGUUCGGGUUGUCAUGCCAAUGGCACUGCCCGGUAGCUAAAUGCGGAAGAGAUAAGUGCUGAAAGCAUCUAAGCACGAAACUUGCCCCGAGAUGAGUUCUCCCUGAGACUUUAAGUCUCCUGAAGGAACGUUGAAGACGACGACGUUGAUAGGCCGGGUGUGUAAGCGCAGCGAUGCGUUGAGCUAACCGGUACUAAUGAACCGUGAGGCUUAACCUU